GGUUGCAUAGUGUAGUGGUUACUACGUUUGUUUUAUAUGCGAAGGUUUGCUAGUUUAAGCUUGGUUGUAAUCA
rfam:Pyronema omphalodes CBS 100304, CBS100304, WGS project CATG01000000 data, contig: Pcon_v1_contig998